rnacentral:rRNA from 1 species
GACGAACGCUGGCGGCGUGCCUAACACAUGCAAGUCGAGCGAGUGGAGUUCUUCGGAACAAAGCUAGCGGCGGACGGGUGAGUAACACGUGGGCAACCUGCCUCAUAGAGGGGAAUAGCCUCCCGAAAGGGAGAUUAAUACCGCAUAAGAUUGUAGCUUCGCAUGAAGUAGCAAUUAAAGGAGCAAUCCGCUAUGAGAUGGGCCCGCGGCGCAUUAGCUAGUUGGUGAGGUAACGGCUCACCAAGGCGACGAUGCGUAGCCGACCUGAGAGGGUGAUCGGCCAGAUGGGGACUGAGACACGGCCAAGACUCCUACGGGAGGCAGCAGUGGGGAAUAUUGCACAAUGGGGGAAACCCUGAUGCAGCAACGCCGCGUGAGUGAUGACGGCCUUCGGGUUGUAAAGCUCUGUCUUCAGGGACGAUAAUGACGGUACCUGAGGAGGAAGCCACGGCUAACUACGUGCCAGCAGCCGCGGUAAUAC